rnacentral:rRNA from 1 species
UACGAGGGGGGCGAGCGUUGUUCGGAAUUAUUGGGCGUAAAGGGUGCGUAGGCGGCCUGACAAGUCUGAUGUGAAAUCCCUGGGCUCAACCCAGGGCCUGCUUCGGAAACUGUCGGGCUUGAGUAUGGGAGAGGUGAGUGGAAUUUCCGGUGUAGCGGUGAAAUGCGUAGAUAUCGGAAGGAACACCUGUGGCGAAAGCGGCUCACUGGACCAUUACUGACGCUGAGGCACGAAAGCUAGGGGAGCAAACAGG